ACAGUGGGCGGGGUGACCGCUGGUGAUCGCAUUUGUUGAUCACUGGAGGAAAGUCCGGGCUCCGCAGGGCAGGAUGGUCGAUAACGUCGACCGGCCGUGAGGUUAGGGAAAGUGCAGCAGAGAGCAGACCGCCGAACGGUUUGACGUGACACCCCUCGGGGAUCGCGGCAAAUGCGUGGUAAGGGUGAAACGGUGCGGUAAGAGCGCACCAGCGACCGGGGUGACUCGGUCGGCUCGGUAAACCCCAUCCGGAGCUAGACCAAACAGGGUGCAUUCACGAGGCGGCCCGUCUCGUUAUCGACACCCGGGUAGGUCGCAAUUGAGGCGGCGAGCAAUCGUCGUGCACAGAUAAAUGGUCACCGGCAGCGAACGCUGUUACAAAACCCGGCUUACAAGCCCGCUGGCUCC
rfam:Rhodopirellula sp. SWK7 cSWK70120, whole genome shotgun sequence.